rnacentral:rRNA from 1 species
GGCUUGUUGAUUUUUAUUUCAGGUCUGGCCUGCCCAAUGAUUAUUUAAAUGGCUGCGGUAUAUUGACCGUACAAAGGUAGCAUAAUAAUUAGUUUCUUAAUUAGAAGCUUGAAUGAAUGGCUAAAUGAAAAAACUUCUGUCUCUUGGAAAAUUAACUAGAAUUUUAUUUUUAGGUGAAAAAGCUUAAAUAAAUGUUGAAGACGAGAAGACCCUAUAGAGUUUCAUAGUGUUGCUUAGGAUUAUUUUAAGGAAUAGAAAUUUUCUAUUUAAAUAAUUAUUUUAUUGGGGUGAUAGAAAAAUUUAUUGAACUUUCUUUUCGUUUAAACAUUUAUUUUUGAUUCUUUGAUCCUUGAAUUAAGAUUAUAAGAUUAAACUACCUUAGGGAUAACAGCGUUAUUUUUUUAAAAGUUCUUAUUGAAAAAAAAGUUUGCGACCUCGAUGUUGGAUUAAAAUUUACCUUUGGUGAAGAAGCUAGGGUGUUAGGUCUGUUCGACCUUUGAAAUUUUACAUGAUCUGAGUUUAAACCGGCGUGAG